rnacentral:rRNA from 1 species
UACGUAGGUGGCAAGCGUCAUCCGGAUUUACUGGGUGUAAAGGGCGUGUAGGCGGGACUGCAAGUCAGAUGUGAAAACCACGGGCUCAACCUGUGGCCUGCAUUUGAAACUGUAGUUCUUGAGUACUGGAGAGGCAGACGGAAUUCCUAGUGUAGCGGUGAAAUGCGUAGAUAUUAGGAGGAACACCAGUGGCGAAGGCGGUCUGCUGGACAGCAACUGACGCUGAGGCGCGAAAGCGUGGGGAGCAAACAGG